rnacentral:rRNA from 1 species
GACGAACGCUGGCGGCGUGCUUAACACAUGCAAGUCGAACGGAAAGGCCCUUCUGUUUACUCGAGUGGCGAACGGGAGCGUGACACUAGGGUGAUCUUCCCUUCACUUUGAGUUAAGGCUGGGAAACUGGGUCUAAUGCCGAAUAGGACCACGCGCUUCAGCGUGUGGGGGGGGAAGGUUUUGCGGCGGGGGAUGGGCUCGCGGCCUAUCAGCUUGUUGGUGGGGUAGUGGCCUACCAAGGCGACGACGGGUAGCCGGCCUGAGAGGGUGACCGGCCACACUGGGACUGAGAUACGGCCCAGACUCCUACGGGAGGCAGCAGUGGGGAAUAUUGCACAAUGGGCGGAAGCCUGAUGCAGCAACGCCGCGUGAGGGAUGACGGCCUUCGGGUUGUAAACCGCUUUCACUAGGGACGAAGCGUAAGUGACGGUAAUUAUAGAAGAAGCACCGGCUAACUACGUG